rnacentral:rRNA from 1 species
UACGUAGGGCGCAAGCGUUGUCCGGAAUUAUUGGGCGUAAAGGGCUCGUAGGCGGUCUGUCACGUCGGGAGUGAAAACUCGGGGCUUAACCCCGAGCCUGCUUCCGAUACGGGCAGACUAGAGGUAUGCAGGGGAGAAUGGAAUUCCUGGUGUAGCGGUGAAAUGCGCAGAUAUCAGGAGGAACACCGGUGGCGAAGGCGGUUCUCUGGGCAUUACCUGACGCUGAGGAGCGAAAGUGUGGGGAGCGAACAGG